GUGACUGCGUACCUUUUGUAUAAUGGGUCAGCGACUUAUAUUCUGUAGCAAGGUUAACCGAAUAGGGGAGCCGAAGGGAAACCGAGUCUUAACUGGGCGUUAAGUUGCAGGGUAUAGACCCGAAACCCGGUGAUCUAGCCAUGGGCAGGUUGAAGGUUGGGUAACACUAACUGGAGGACCGAACCGACUAAUGUUGAAAAAUUAGCGGAUGACUUGUGGCUGGGGGUGAAAGGCCAAUCAAACCGGGAGAUAGCUGGUUCUCCCCGAAAGCUAUUUAGGUAGCGCCUCGUGAAUUCAUCUCCGGGGGUAGAGCACUGUUUCGGCAAGGGGGUCAUCCCGACUUACCAACCCGAUGCAAACUGCGAAUACCGGAGAAUGUUAUCACGGGAGACACACGGCGGGUGCUAACGUCCGUCGUGAAGAGGGAAACAACCCAGACCGCCAGCUAAGGUCCCAAAGUCAUGGUUAAGUGGGAAACGAUGUGGGAAGGCCCAGACAGCCAGGAUGUUGGCUUAGAAGCAGCCAUCAUUUAAAGAAAGCGUAAUAGCUCACUGGUCGAGUCGGCCUGCGCGGAAGAUGUAACGGGGCUAAACCAUGCACCGAAGCUGCGGCAGCGACACUAUGUGUUGUUGGGUAGGGGAGCGUUCUGUAAGCCUGUGAAGGUGUACUGUGAGGUAUGCUGGAGGUAUCAGAAGUGCGAAUGCUGACAUAAGUAACGAUAAAGCGGGUGAAAAG
rnacentral:rRNA from 1 species